rnacentral:rRNA from 1 species
GACGAACGCUGGCGGCGUGCUUAACACAUGCAAGUCGAACGGAAAGGCCCUGCUUUUGUGGGGUGCUCGAGUGGCGAACGGGUGAGUAACACGUGAGUAACCUGCCCUUGACUUUGGGAUAACUUCAGGAAACUGGGGCUAAUACCGGAUAGGAGCUCCUGCUGCAUGGUGGGGGUUGGAAAGUUUCGGCGGUUGGGGAUGGACUCGCGGCUUAUCAGCUUGUUGGUGGGGUAGUGGCUUACCAAGGCUUUGACGGGUAGCCGGCCUGGGAGGGGGACCGGCCACAUGGGGCCUGAGGGACGGCCCAGAGGGCUACGGGAGGCAGCAGUGGGGAAUAUUGCACAAUGGGCGGAAGCCUGAUGCAGCAACGCCGCGUGCGGGAUGACGGCCUUCGGGGUGUAAACCGCUUUCGCCUGUGACGAAGCGUGAGUGACGGUAACGGGUAAAGAAGCACCGGCUAACUACGUG